rnacentral:rRNA from 1 species
UAAUACCGAAGCCCCAAGUGGUCGUCGUUAUUAUUGGGCCUAAAACGUCCGUAGCCGGUUUGGUACAUUCGUGGGUAAAUCAGACAGCUUAACUGUCUGAAUUCUGCGAGGACGGCCAAACUUGAGACCAGGGGAGGUGUGGGGUACCUGCGGGGUAGGGGUAAAAUCCCGUCAUCCCGUAGGGACCACCUGUUGCGAAGGCGCCACACUAGAACGGAUCUGACGGUCAGGGACGAAGCCUAGGGGCACGAACCGGAUUAGAUACCCGGGUAGUCCUAGGUGUAAACGCUGUGGACUUGGUGUCGGGGAUCUCUAGAGGAUUCUCGGUGCCGUAGUGAAGAUGUUUAGUCCACUGCCUGGGGAGUACGGUCGCAAGGCUG